rnacentral:lncRNA from 1 species
UAAGAACUUGACGUACUUUACUUCACAAGAAUCCUACGAAGUAGAUAUUACUAGCUGCAUUUUACAGCUAGGGAAAAUUCAUCUCUUAGAGUGCUUAUGCUCACACAGCAUCUACUUAUAAAAUAAGAAGGAUUAGUCUUCCAAGCCAGAGGACCUCCCUAAGCCUAAAGAGUGAAAGAAAAGCCAUUUCACAAAGAAGUAAUGGUACUUGGAGUGACAUUUCAGUGGAUUUUCGGAAUUCAAGCUAGCAGGGAGCUGGAGGGGGAAAUGGAAGAAUUUGUAUCUGAAGGACCCUAUUCUGACAGCAGAUGUCUCCCUUACAUACAGGUAAGGAAAGAAGCACUGUGGUAGGAAUCAUUUCAGUCCUUCUUGUGGCUGCCACAUAUCGUGUAUCAUGGGG